rnacentral:rRNA from 1 species
CACGUAGGGCGCGAGCGUUGUCCGGAAUUAUUGGGCGUAAAGAGCUCGUAGGCGGCCUGUUGCGUCCGCUGUGAAAGCCCGGGGCUUAACCCCGGGUCUGCAGUGGAUACGGGCAGGCUAGAGGUAGGUAGGGGAGAAUGGAAUUCCCGGUGUAGCGGUGAAAUGCGCAGAUAUCGGGAGGAACACCAGUGGCGAAGGCGGCUCACUGGACCGGUUCUGACGCUGAGGCGCGAAAACGUGGGGAGCAAACGGG